GGACUACCGGGGUAUCUAAUCCUGUUUGCUCCCCACGCUUUCGUGCCUCAGCGUCAGUGUUGAUCCAGAUGGCCGCCUUCGCCACUGAUGUUCCUCCCGAUCUCUACGCAUUUCACCGCUACACCGGGAAUUCCACCAUCCUCUAUCACACUCUAGCUAUCCAGUAUCCAUUGCCAUUCCCAGGUUGAGCCCGGGGAUUUCACAACAGACUUAAAUAACCGCCUACGCACGCUUUACGCCCAGUAAUUCCGAUUAACGCUUGCACCCUUCGUAUUACCGCGGCUGCUGGCAC
rnacentral:rRNA from 2 species